rnacentral:rRNA from 1 species
UACGAAGGGGGCUAGCGUUGCUCGGAAUCACUGGGCGUAAAGGGCGCGUAGGCGGCCUGAUAAGUCGGGGGUGAAAGCCUGUGGCUCAACCACAGAAUUGCCUUCGAUACUGUUAGGCUUGAGACCGGAAGAGGUAAGUGGAACUGCGAGUGUAGAGGUGAAAUUCGUAGAUAUUCGCAAGAACACCAGUGGCGAAGGCGGCUUACUGGUCCGGAUCUGACGCUGAGGCGCGAAAGCAUGGGGAGCAAACAGG